UUCCGGUUGAUCCCGCCGGACCCGAUUGUAGCGGGGUAAGGCUGAGCCAUGCGAGUCUAGGGCUCCAGGCUAAGGUGGGGCCCGGCGCACGGCUGAGUAACACGUAGCUAACCUACCCUCAGGAGGGGGAUAACCCCGGGAAACUGGGGUUAAACCCCCAUAGGCGAGGAUGCCUGGAAUCGGAUCCUCGCCGAAAGGGCUUCUAGACCAUGCCUCUAGAAGCCGCCUGAGGAUGGGGCUGCGGCCCAUCAGGUAGUUGGCGGGGUAACGGCCCGCCAAGCCUAUAACGGGUAGGGGCCGUGAGAGCGGGAGCCCCCAGAUGGGCCCUGAGACAAGGGCCCAGGCCCUACGGGGCGCAGCAGGCGCGAAAACUCCGCUAUGCGCGAAAGCGCGACGGGGUUACCCCGAGUGCCUCCCGCUGAGGGGGGCUUUUCCCCAGUGUAAACAGCUGGGGGAAUAAGGGGAGGGCAAGCCUGGUGUCAGCCGCCGCGGUAAUACCAGCUCCCCGAGUGGUCGGGACGAUUAUUGGGCCUAAAGCGUCCGUAGCCGGCCUGGUAAGUCCCCUGUUAAAUCCGGCGAUCCAAUCGCCGGGCUGCAGGGGAUACUGCCGGGCUAGGGGGUGGGGGAGGCCGACGGUAUUCCCGGGGGAGGAGUAAAAUCCUCAGAUCCCGGGAGGACCACCAGUGGCGAAGGCGGUCGGCUGGAACACGCCCGACGGUGAGGGACGAAAGCUGGGGGAGCGAGCCGGAUUAGAGACCCGGGUAGUCCCAGCUGUAAACCAUGCGGGCUAGGUGUCGGAUCGGCUAAGAGCCGAUCCGGUGCCGAAUGGAAGCAACUAAGCCCGCCGCCUGGGGAGUACGGCCGCAAGGCUGAAACUUAAAGGAAUUGGCGGGGGGGCACCACAAGGGGUGGAUGCUGCGGUUUAAUUGGAGUCAACGCCGGA
rnacentral:rRNA from 1 species